GCCUGAUGCCCAUGUUUUGUUUUAUACUUUUAAAAAAUGUGUUUAAAUGUUUAAAUGAGCAAAUUAUUUGGAAGUUGCCUUGUGCUUUCUGAUGCUGCUUUGCGGCACAUUAAGAGUCUUGACAUUAGGCCAUCAUUCAUUUCCUCUUUCAUUCCGCCAACAUUGAUUCCGUGUCAGGCAUGUGGGAGACGGCGCAGACACAAAGGCAAACAAUCCCAAACACAGGCUUUGCCCUCCUUGUACGUUGAGACAAAGGAAGCAGAAAUGAGCCUGGGAUCACAGUCUGCGCUGAGCAGCAUGGAGCAAACAGGGCGUCCCCUUCUCAGUGACAGAGGGACUUGGGCUGACCAACCGUCUUGGCUUCCCUGGGACUGUCCCAGCUCAGCACUGAAAAUCUCAUGCCGAUGAAAACCCCCGCAGGCCUGGGCAGAUGGGAACCUUGGUCACUCUUGCAGAAACUUGAGUCAGACAACAGAGCCGCUGAGUACACCCCAACACAGAGGAGCCAGCGCUCACCGAGAGAUUUGCCAAGUGGAGUCCUUUUGAGACAUCCAAAUUUCACUGUCUUCAACUUAUUAAUGUGAAACAAAGAAUAACGUAUAUGUGUGUGUAAACACGAAUAGUAACAGCUUAUAUUUGUAAACAAUGUGCCGUGCGCCCAGCACUACAUUAAGCAGUCUCCAUGCAGCACCUCCAUUAAUCCUGGGGAGCACUGUACCCACUUCAAGAGGCCUUUAGAAGAGCAAGUAACAAAAACUGGUGGAAAAAAAGCACACAUUCAACAGGAAGCAACAUCUAGAGACCUUUCUGCCUUCCAGGAUACAAAAAGAAAACAGUUCAUAAACAACUUACAUCUAAACCAGUAAUGUUGUCUCCCUGGCUCAUAGGAGCUGAAGAAGAAUUCCAGUUACUGUAGUAAGAAUAUAAGGAUGUGGACUGGUUUGAGGAUGCUUGAGGCAUGACUAUAGCAAGUACUGCGCAUACAUAUGUGGACAUCGAAUUCCAUGAUCUACACACAGAUGACACCAAAAUCGGAACAGCAAUGUCCACCCUUCUCCCGAGCCCUAGGUCGGUGCCUCUGUCCACCUGUGUCUCCUGAAACUUCAACACAGACUUCAAAUGGAGUGGCAGAAAACCAGAUUCCUUAGGGAAAGGAAGGUCUCCCAGACGGCAGGAGCGGCAGGCCUUAGGGGCAGCCGCAGGGGCUCGGGAGUCUGAACAUACCCGGUUUGAAUUCAGACUCUGGCACGCCCCAUGCGAUCAUAACAUAGUGCUGCACGUCUCAAGCCACCUAUAAAAACGGGGACAAUAACAAUAUCUGCCUCGGGGUUAAUGGAUUAGAUGUGUCGGUCCAUAGACGUUGCUGGCCACAUAGUUAAGUGGUGCGUUCACUCACUGGGCAUUGAUGGAGCGCCUACUACGUGCCAGGCCUGUUUUACGCGCCGGGGGCCCAGAGGCGCCCAGGUCAGACAAAGUGUAAACGAUUCCGACCAGAGCCCUUCAAUCUGCAUUCCGCUUCGCAGGAAACUCUCCUCCUUUUAUGAUUUUCAGCCGGACUGCCUUCCCUGUUGUUAGUUUGUAACUUUCGCUCCGGCCCCCGCAGCCUCGCGCCUGCCUUCCCUCCACUGUCCUCAGCCAAGGUGUAGUAAAGCGUCUCCGAACGCGGCGCGACCCUCGCCCACGCCCGCUCGCGGGGGGACCGCACCGCCCCAGGGGUCCUCGCUAGGGGUUCCCGGAGAAGGGGUGGGAGAUGGGGGUGCGGGGGGGCACAGGAGCGCGGGCCAGCACCCAGACCUGCUCGGUACCGGGGACCCAGACCCGAGGAUGCCGGGCGGCCAAGGCCCCGCUACCCUGGCCGGCUCCGGGCGGAGGAAGAAGAGGAGGCGCCCAGACUGGAUACCCGCCUGGACCCGGAGCCGCGGCACCACCCCCAGCCCGCCCCACGCUCGCCAGCCUCAGACGGCCGCGCCCCG
rnacentral:lncRNA from 10 species